rnacentral:rRNA from 1 species
UGAAUACGAGACGCUAAGGCGUCGAAGUAGUGUAUGUCAUACUUCCAAGAAAAGCUUGCACUGUCAUAGAUAAAAAACGCCUGUACCAUAACCGACACAGGUGGGUAGGUAGAGUAUACUAAGGGGCGCGAGAUAACUCUCUCUAAGGAACUCGGCAAAAUAACUCCGUAACUUCGGGAGAAGGAGUGCCUUAUUCGUAAGGUUGCAAUAACAAGAUCCAAGCAACUGUUUAUCAAAAACACAGGUCUCCGCUAAGUCGUAAGACGAUGUAUGGGGGCUGACGCCUGCCCAGUGCCAGAAGGUUAAAGAAGUUGGUUAGCAAUUGCGAAGCUGAUAACUGAAGCCCUGGUGAACGGCGGCCGUAACUAUAACGGUCCUAAGGUAGCGAAAUUCCUUGUCAGGUAAGUUCCGACCCGCACGAAAGGCGUAAUGAUUUGGAUACUGUCUCGGAGAGGGGCUCGGUGAAAUAGACUUGUCUGUGAAGAUGCGGACUACCUGCACCAGGACAGAAAGACCCUAUGAAGCUUUACUGUAACUUGAAAUUGAAAUUGGACUUUAUUCGCGCAGCAUAGGUGGGAGGCGUUGAUUAUAAUCUUGCGGGAUUAUUGGAGCCAUCAGUGAGAUACCACUCUUGUAAUGUUAGGUUUCUAACUUUGAAUCAUUAUCUGGUCAAAGAACAGUUUCAGGCGGGCAGUUUGACUGGGGCGGUCGCCUCCUAAACGGUAACGGAGGCGUACAAAGGUUUCCUCUGAACGGUUAGAAAUCGUAUCUAGAGUGUAAAGGCAUAAGGAAGCUUGACUGUGAGACCUACAAGUCGAGCAGGGACGAAAGUCGGUCUUAGUGAUCUGACGGUACUGAGUGGAAAGGCCGUCACUCAACGGAUAAAAGUUACUCUAGGAUAACAGGCUGAUCUCCCCCAAGAGUUCACAUCGACGGGGAGGUUUGGCACCUCGAUGUCGGCUCAUCGCAUCCUGGGGCGGUAGUACGUCCCAAGGGUUGGGCUGUUCGCCCAUGAAAGCGGUACGCGAGCUGGGUUCAGAACGUCGUGAGACAGUUCGGUCCAUAUCCGGUGUAGGCGUUAGAAUAUUGAGAGGAGCCUUCUUUAGUACGAGAGGACCGAGAAGGACAUACCUCUGGUGUACCAGUUAUCGUGCCAACGGUAAACGCUGGGUAGCUAUGUAUGGAGUGGAUAACCGCUGAAAGCAUCUAAGUGGGAAGCCCACCUCAAGAUAAG